AAGUUUUAAAUUUACUUAUAUUUACUGCACAGUUAAAUAAAUUUAAACUUUGUUUGCAGCAGAAUAAACAUGGCAUUAUUUUGAAAGAUGACAACAUAUUGACAAUUUUCGCUGAACAAAGCGAUAGUCCGGCAAGUCUGAGGUUUUUUUUUCCAACGCAAAGGUUUCGGAGUCAUACUAAUCUCUGCGCUGCAAGCACAAAAUAUCGAAGAGGCAAAUUUUUGACGUCUUCGAGGCAAAUUUUUGACGUCUUCGAGACAAAUAUAACUCUUUAAAAAUUCCGCAGAUCUUAAGUUUACGUGGAAAUUAAAAAAAGUAGAACCUUUCAGCGAAUCGAAUAUGUAUUUAAAAUCUCAAAUUAAAAAAAUGUCAAAAGUUUUUGAAAGGUUUGAUUCUCCUUAAUUCAUUAUGGUGUUUGUAUACUCCGUAGUUUUUUACAGCCAAUGUAAAUAUUUUACUAUUAAAAAUGGGAAAAUGGACGGGUGGUGGGUCCAAUGCACUUACGAUAUAUAUUUAACUUUCUAACCAAAAAAAACAGCGUUUCCUCAAAUAUUAAAACCCUAACUCUUUAAAAUUUUGUAGUCGCAGGACAAAGUGAAGUCACGACUCGUUAAUUUUUAAGUGCAAAAAAAAAACACAAAACUUAGACGUGCUGGACUAUGACUGUGUUCAGCGAAAAUAAUCACAAUAACGUCUUUUUUCGAAAAUACACCAAGGUAAUUCUAUUGCAAAAUGCUGUUGUACCCUGUUGCUAGUAGCUAAUAUAUUAAUUCAUUGCAGCAAAGAGCAAAAUUGUCUUUGUAAAUACGGGUAGGUUAUAUUCGUAGUAGAUAUGUAAAUAUUUGCGUGAAUAGUUACUUGUAUGUAUGAUAGAAUAAAAAUAUUUUAUCUAGAUUUAAAAAGUAAAGAUUAUAACAAUAAUAACUCAUAAUAGUUGCAUAGUUACUGAUCAAUUUUCUAGAUCCUUUCGAGCUAAGUAUUUUAAGAAUUAAAUAUUUGCAUACAUAUACAUACAUAUAUACAUAGGUGUGUACAAAAAAUACUAGGGUGUUAUAUUAAAACGUAGCUGAUUUAUAUGUGCAUACAUAUACAUUUUGAAGAGAAAUAUUUAUAUAUUUAGAAUAUCAAUAAGAGCUAUAUUAAUACCAUUUGUUGCACCUAAUAAUCUAUUAUAGGCUAAGAAAUAUCAUAAGAUACACAAUAUAUAUAUGUAGCAUAGAUAAAAGCUUAGGAUAUACAUUAGUAUUAAUGGCAAACCAAUAAACUAAUUGUAAAAUAGAAUAUGUAGAGAAUGCAUUUGGCAAAUCGAAGCGUUGCGAUGUUACGGUCGUAAGUUGCUUUUAAUUCUUUCGGCAAAAAAUUAUAAGUUAAAAAAUUUCUCCGAUGUAAGGACGAUUUUAAUCAGUACUAAUGGGAACAAAUUAGUGACAAUUAGAAAUUAAAGUAUUAUUUUAGACUUUUAUAUUCUUCGGGAUCGAUUACGCAGGCUUCAUAUAACAAGACUUUAACUCAAUAAAUAAACUCAUUCGACGUCAGUCGGAAGGACUGGUAUUAUUUUUAAUAUUUCCAUUUUUUCGAAGUCAAUUACACAGAUUUCAUAUAACAAGUCUUUUUAACUCAAUAAAUAAGCUCAUUCGACGUCAGUCGGGAGGACUGGUACUAUUUUUACUAUUUCUAUUUU